GCGGACGGGUGAGUAAUGCCUAUCGAAUCUGCCUGGCUAGCUGGGGGAUAACGUUCGGAAACGGACGCUAAUACCGCAUACGUCCUUACGGGAGAAAGCAGGGGACCUUCGGGCCUUGCGCUAUCAGAUGAGCCUAGGUCGGAUUAGCUAGUUGGUGGGGUAAUGGCUCACCAAGGCGACGAUCCGUAACUGGUCUGAGAGGAUGAUCAGUCACACUGGAACUGAGACACGGUCCAGACUCCUACGGGAGGCAGCAGUGGGGAAUAUUGGACAAUGGGCGAAAGCCUGAUCCAGCCAUGCCGCGUGUGUGAAGAAGGUCUUCGGAUUGUAAAGCACUUUAAGUUGGGAGGAAGGGCAGUUACCUAAUACGUGAUUGUUUUGACGUUACCGACAGAAUAAGCACCGGCUAACUCUGUGCCAGCAGCCGCGGUAAUACAGAGGGUGCAAGCGUUAAUCGGAAUUACUGGGCGUAAAGCGCGCGUAGGUGGUUUGUUAAGUUGGAUGUGAAAUCCCCGGGCUCAACCUGGGAACUGCAUUCAAAACUGACUGACUAGAGUAUGGUAGAGGGUGGUGGAAUUUCCUGUGUAGCGGUGAAAUGCGUAGAUAUAGGAAGGAACACCAGUGGCGAAGGCGACCACCUGGACUGAUACUGACACUGAGGUGCGAAAGCGUGGGGGAGCA
rnacentral:rRNA from 1 species